rnacentral:rRNA from 1 species
AGAGUUUGAUCAUGGCUCAGGAUGAACGCUGGCGGCGUGCCUAACACAUGCAAGUCGAACGGGGUUAAGGGAAAUUUUCGGAUGGAACUUAACUUAGUGGCGGACGGGUGAGUAACGCGUGGAUAACCUGCCUCACACUGGGGGAUAGCAGCUGGAAACGGCUGGUAAUACCGCAUAAGACCACGGUGCCGCAUGGGCACCGGGGUAAAAGAUUUUAUCGGUGUGAGAUGGAUCCGCGUCUGAUUAGCCAGUUGGCGGGGUAACGGCCACCAAAGCGACGAUCAGUAGCCGGCCUGAGAGGGUGAACGGCCACAUUGGGACUGAGACACGGCCCAAACUCCUACGGGAGGCAGCAGUGGGGAAUAUUGCACAAUGGGCGCAAGCCUGAUGCAAGCAACGCCGCGUGAGUGAAGAAGUAUUUCGGUAUGUAAAGCUCUAUCGGCAGGGAAGAAAGGCCCGAAAGGGAGAUGACGGUACCUGACUAAGAAGCCCCGGCUAACUACGUGCCAGCCGCCGC